GGUCAGCCCCGCGCCCGGCCGCCGAAUGGCUUGCCUAGCCUCUGGGCGCGUGUGGGUGCGGUCAGGAAGCGCCUUCCUAGGCCGCUUCUCAGCCAUCAUCAUGACCCCUUUCCGGCCGCAGCCUCAGCCCUUUCCGGUCAACAUAGUCCCCGGCCCCCAUGCCUACCCGGAUGCGCCACACCCUCCAUAGGCCAACCCUCUCCUCCCGCAGUUCCUUCCCUUCCAGGUGUGGCUAGUGGGGGAGGGUGGUGGUCAGGGUGCGGCAGGGUCGGAUGAACUUGUGUCUGGGACCCUGAACUGUGCAAAUUAGAGGUUUUGUAGAAAGAAGCUGCAGACUUAGUUGAUGGAUGAGGACCCAGAGGAGCCCUGUACAGAGUGAGAAGAACACUAGGAUCUCAUUGGGUGUACAGGGUCAGCAGCUCCUUCCCAAGUGCUCAGUCAGGGACAUCUGCUCUGCCGCGGUUGCACCUUCGGGGAGAAAUAUUUUUAACACUGUGAUGCCACAAAAGGAAACUUCUGAAGGCUGGAUGAAAAUGGCCUCUGCGUUCCCAGAGCCUCAAGGCCCAGAAUCCCCAAGGUGGAGAUAGAGUUGAGAUUGUUGGGCUCAUUUUAUGGGUAAGAGAAUGAAGGUUCACAGAAACCCCCAAGAAGGACCGUUUUUCAAUGCCAGCGCUGCUUUUCUGUCUCAUUUAAAUAGACACGAAGCCACCGGCUUGCAUCUGGCGCUGAUGUGGCCCUGUCCUGUUCCAGCAGACCUCAGAGUGCCUCUUCCCCAGCACUUCAUUCUUUUUUUCAUUCAAACAUCAUCUUGAUUAAUUUUUAAUGCAGCCCAGCUUCUGUCCUAAGACUUAUUUAAUACACCACUUCCACUUGCCCGUGUGUCUGCCUGCCUGCCCGCCUGCCUGCCCGCCUGCCUGCCUGCCCAGGAGACCAGCCUUCUGUUGUGCUUCCAAAGUCCAACCACAGUAUCAGCAGAUUCAAUGAGGUGAAAUGGAGGGGAAAAAAAAUCUACCCUCCAACUCUACUGCCAACCGAAGCUUGUGCCGCAGGCCUUCUCUCCACGUCAAACCUGAUCCUAACCCCAUCCCACUUUUCCACUGGCAUCAUACUGCUUAUCUACUAGCUUCUUGAAUUUAACACCUGCUUGACCCAUGCCCCCUUCCUGAAGGAUGGACUCUGCCCCUCUCACCCAUCGGACCCACUCAGGUUUCUUGCAUCCCCGACCCCUUGCAGCCUGUACUGAACUUGUCAGCCCCCUUCCUCACCCGCCAUCGCCCACUGCUCACCUUCCCUUUUUCAUGACUUUGUGUUUACACUACUGUAUAACAGUGGCUGAGGAAAGAUAGACCUGCCAUAAAGAACAAGAAGCCUAUAGAAAAGUUUUAUAAGACUUUAUUUGAGCCAAAUUUUGGGGACAUGCCCAGGAGCAAUGGAUUGAGAAAACGCUCCAGAGAAUGGCAGCUUUGCAGCUUAUUUUAUACAUUGGAAUCAAAGGAGAAGACUUAAGGAGGGUUACUUGGAAUCCACUGGUGGUAGAUUAAGGAGACUGGAGAAAGCAAAGCAAAGAAAUUUCUAAGAUUGGAUAAAAAGCAAAAUGGAGGAACUCAUACCUUUUAUACAUCUGUGGCUACAAGAUAGUUAAUAAUUAACACUUAAAGUACAUAGAGAUGAUAUGCGGGGAACAAGAUAACAGUGAGGGGCUCUGUAGUCUCGUUCUCUGAUGCCUGUAGUUGUGCCUUCUAGAAAGGAAAAUUACUCUGACAUUUCAAAGGUAUAUUAGCCUAGAUGCAUACGAAUAGUAGACAGGGCUCACUUAAUGUAAAGAUUGACCUUCGCUAAGGAAUCUACAGGCCUGGGACGUGGUCUGCCCAGUUAGGAAUUUAUGUUAAGACCGUUCUGUGUGGUUACUUUUAGUCAUUGAGCUUGUCAGGUCUGCCAUGUGCCCCUCCAUCCCAGCCCCAGUAAUUUGUCAGAUUUAUUACAGAGCCCCCUUUUGGUUCACACUAUCAUCAGGAAGUGCAGGUUAUAUGACCUUGGGAAAGUAAUUUGACCUCUUGGGGGGUCUCAGUUUCCAAAACCGAGAUCUUUUAGAGUUGCACCAGAUUAGGGAUAUUUUGAGCUUUUUUUUUUUUUGAGCUGUUUUUCCGAGGAGGGUUCCUCAGAGACUGCUCUGAUGGAGGAAAGCGGAGAGCGAGGAGAACCAAGUGGACUGAGGCCUCAGGAUUUCCCCUCCCCACCUUGGACCAGAGAACCCACUUUGAUCUGAUUAAUGUACCAGGCUUCUCAAAUGCUGCUGCUGAGAGAGAGAGAGUGAGUGCACACUCUAAACUCUAGAUUAUUUAUAAUUAAGUAAUCCAAAGAGACUCUUAACAGCUCUAACAUGGUGCAGUCAAAGUCUUUUCUCCCCAGUGGGUUAUAGGCCCCUUGGGGGCAGUUUGUGUGCAGGCCACACCAUAGGAGUCCAAUCAAUGCUUGUGGAAUGAAGGGAAGAACAAUAAACAUGUUCUUGUUCUCUUCUGUGAUGUUCCAUGUGUAUCUUCUCUCACCAGCCACACUAAAAAUUCUCAUUCUUGCACGUCUUGCGCAUUCUCCAGAGACCUCCUAGCAUAAGGCCUGUAGUCUUGUUUUAAACCCUUUUCGUAAAUGAAAGAUCCAGGGGGCAGGGUGCGGGGUAAGAACCUCUGGGAGGCAUUCUGUAAACCCAACUAAAGUAUAAUAAAACAAAUGCUGAGGC